rnacentral:rRNA from 1 species
UGGGGAAUUUUGGACAAUGGGGGAAACCCUGAUCCAGCCAUCCCGCGUGUGCGAUGAAGGCCUUCGGGUUGUAAAGCACUUUUGGCAGGAAAGAAACGUCGCGGGUUAAUACCCCGCGAAACUGACGGUACCUGCAGAAUAAGCACCGGCUAACUACGUGCCAGCAGCCGCGGUAAUACGUAGGGUGCAAGCGUUAAUCGGAAUUACUGGGCGUAAAGCGUGCGCAGGCGGUUCGGAAAGAAAGAUGUGAAAUCCCAGAGCUUAACUUUGGAACUGCAUUUUUAACUACCGGGCUAGAGUGUGUCAGAGGGAGGUGGAAUUCCGCGUGAAGCAGUGAAAUGCGUAGAUAUGCGGAGGAACACCGAUGGCGAAGGCAGCCUCCUGGGAUAACACUGACGCUCAUGCACGAAAGCGUGGGGAGCAAACAGGAUUAGAUACCCUGGUAGUCCACGCCCUAAACGAUGUCAACUAGCUGUUGGGGCCUUCGGGCCUUGGUAGCGCAGCUAACGCGUGAAGUUGACCGCCUGGGGAGUACGGUCGCAAGAUUAAAACUCAAAUGAAUUGACGGGG